UAGUCAGGAAUGUUUACACCUCAGUUAACU
rnacentral:piRNA from 1 species